UCUCCGUUCUUUCUUCUUUUCUCUUCAUCUCUAUCUCCUUUCAUCAAGAGAGAUUUGUUUCCUUCUUAUCCAUUCAGAAGGCAGAGAGUGGAUAUGCCAAAACUAUAAACCUGAUGGCUUAAGUAGCAGUGGUUUGAGCGGCCAUGCUACCAGAUAAGGUUACAACUACGGCAUGUGAUUUGGAAUUGAAGGAAACAGAGAGAUUAACGGAUUUGAAGAUCAGUGGAGAGAGAAACAAUGAUGGGAAAGUGUCUUGCUUUUUUAGCAUGGAGUGGUUUGUUGACCAAAUCUUCAAAUGAGACAUUGGAGAAGUUGAAAAAACUUAGAAUUAGUGGGUCCAGCUUGCCCAAAGAUAUUCAACUGUAGUCAUAUUUGGUUCCUAUGUCCAUUCUAAUGAGUAAUUCUCGAGAACAAUUAAGUUGAGUUGAAGUAAUUUUCUGUACUUUCGAUGAGUUGAAAUAAUGUGCUGUUAAUUUUUCAUUACUGAGUCUAUGCUGUCAAAAAUUCUCUAAGAAGUCAAUAGCCUUAAUCUCUAAGUUAUUAAUUAGUUGUUUUUGUUUUCUCAGUUGGUGA